rnacentral:RNase_P_RNA from 1 species
CCUGCAGGCUGCUCUGUCGCGGUCCCGGUUCUGCCGGGAAUGAGGAAAGUCCGGACAACGUAGAGCGCUACACCAUCUAACGGAUGGGCUUCUCCGCAAGGGGGAGACAGAGAGUGUCACAGAAAAUUACCGCCCCCGCCGAAGCCUUGGCGUAGGAGGGGGGUAAGGGUGAAAACGUGCGGUAAGAGCGCACGCCGCGGCUUGGCAACAGGCUGAGGGGAUAAACCUUGUGGGUUGAAAUGCCAUGUAUACCCCGGUUUCCUUCGGGAUGUAGAGUUGCUCGCUCUAUUUCUUCUUCGGAAGAAGCCGCGGAGGGUAGGCAGAUAGACCCUGUGCCGCGAGGCCAGGGCUAGAUAAAUGACAGGGGCCGGCCCGCCAUAGCUUUUAGCGAAGGAGGGGGCGGAACAGAAUCCGGCUUAUAGGCCUGCAGGAAUU